rnacentral:lncRNA from 13 species
GGGAAAAAAGAAGAGUUUUGCAUGCAAAGCAGGAGUGUUCUGUUUCAUUUCUACUCAUCUAGGACUUCAAGUAGCCCAUAUGAUUAUGGAAGCAGUUAUUCCUAAGAACCACUAAAGACAUUUUCCUCUUGGACCCAUAUCACAUGAAAACCAGCAUCCACAUGAGGCCAAAGAAACAUGCGUUUUGUUUCAAUACAAUGUGUCUGCAUGAGACAUUAUGACAACGAGCUCCAAAAUUCUCCUUCUAAUACUCAUCACCAAAAUAUACAGCUUAUGGUAAAGGAACGGAAGUUGACAUUUUCGUCAAGGCCUGUGAAAUGUUUCUUAUUAUGGGAAAAUAAAUACUACUUCUGCAGAGUCAAAAUUCUAAGGACCCAAGGCUGGAAAUCACUACUUUCAUUGGUGGGAUUUUAGGUAUUAUAAUAAGUCAAAGUGAAAAAAUGUGACACGAGAUGUUUGUGGAAAGAAUGCAUGAGACACCAGACUUCUUCCAGAGCAGACAGCGUGUGGUGGCAAAGGAGUCAGAUAGAGAAUUUGAAGGCACAUCAGCUGUUCCUCUAAGCCCAUUGAAAGAAGACCAACAUUUAAGAACUGAAAUUUACCAAGAUAAUUAUUUUAUCAUUAUAUAAAUUAAAAAAAAAUCCUCAUCUGGUAAAAGCUCACAGUUAAUUUAGUU